AUUGGCAACGAUAGCUAUGGAGGUACACCCAGUAACAUUUCGAACCUGGAAGUUAAGCCCAUAAACGCUGAAAGUACUUGGGGGCAGCCCCCUGGGAGGAUAGGAAGUUGCCAAUC
rnacentral:rRNA from 1 species